GAGGAAAUAGGACAGAAAGGUCACACAGAAGCCGUAAAGCCAAUGAUCUCUUAUAAAGCAGUUAUUUAGGUUCUCAGUGGCACUGUUCAUCUUCUGGAAGGGAGAUCACUCCAUUCUCUGCCCAUCCCUGUGUCAUCAGCAUAGCUCUGGAUGCUUGGAGUAAAAGAAGAAAGCCUAUUCUACCUUGUUGCUGCUGUACACUCAGCUUUCCUCUUGCUGAUGACAUGAUUCCUGUUUGAAUCUGUUGACAAGAUUCUGAAAGCCGAACAGAGAAUUCUGGCACUGCAUUGGGUAGGAAAAAGCUUUUCAAGAAAUAGAUAAUAUCAAGGAGACUGGGACACCGGGAGUGGGAGAGAUUGGACUGGGAGACUCAGCAGGUCAGGACAUUUGCAUUACCAUUUGCUGGUCAUUCUUUUGCCAUCAGUUUUACAAUUCUCUUGCCACUUGCUUAUUUCUUCCAUGUGCUUACUUGAGUUGUUCUCGGUUUGCAAUUUAUGAAUAACACUCUAAUAAUAUAAGAAGCCGAGCAUUUGGGUGUCUUCCUUUUAUAGUUUGAAGAUGAGAAAAAAAAAAAAAACCAAUUAAAAGAAACUAUCAAGAAUAGAAAAAAAAUUUCUUACC
rnacentral:lncRNA from 1 species